GACGAACGCUGGCGGCGUGCUUAACACAUGCAAGUCGAACGGAAAGGCCUGCUUUCCCUUGUGGAUUGCGGGUACUCGAGUGGCGAACGGGUGAGUAACACGUGAGUGAUCUGCCCCCAACUUGGGUAUAAGCCUGGGAAACUGGGUCUAAUUCCCGAUAGGACUGCAGGGUGGUGCCUGUGGUGGAAAACGAUUUUCUAGUGGUUGGGGAUGAGCUCGCGGCCUAUCAGCUUGUUGGUGGGGUAAUGGCCUACCAAGGCGGCGACGGGUAGCCGGCCUGAGAGGGUGGACGGCAACAUUGGGACUGAGAUACGGCCCAGACUCCUACGGGAGGCAGCAGUGGGGAAUAUUGCACAAUGGGCGGAAGCCUGAUGCAGCGACGCCGCGUGGGGGAUGACGGACUUCGGGUUGUAAACUCCUUUCGACCGCGAGGAAGCCACCUGGUUGGAAGGGUGGUGACGGUAGUGGUAGAAGAAGCACCGGCUAACUACGUG
rnacentral:rRNA from 1 species